UACGGAGGGAGCUAGCGUUGUUCGGAAUUACUGGGCGUAAAGCGCGCGUAGGCGGCUUUGUAAGUUAGAGGUGAAAGCCCGGAGCUCAACUCCGGAACUGCCUUUAAAACUGCAUCGUUUGAAUCCAGGAGAGGUGAGUGGAAUUCCGAGUGUAGAGGUGAAAUUCGUAGAUAUUCGGAAGAACACCAGUGGCGAAGGCGACUCGCUGGACAAGUAUUGACGCUGAGGUGCGAAAGCGUGGGGAGCAAACAGG
rnacentral:rRNA from 1 species